CGCCGCCGGUGCCACCGCCCGUGCCAGUGCCCGUGCCGCCUGUGCCGCGGGAGGCCAGGCGUGAAGAUGAGGCUCUCUGGGAUUACACGUGGAGAAAGGCGAUCGGGAUCGGCCCCGGGGAGCGCCGGCUGGUGAGACGCGCGGCUCCCCCACCCCCGUGCCCCGGAGAAGCGGCUUCAAUGGCGCCAUCCCCCAAGAGGAGCCGCCGGAAAGAUGCCAACGCCUUGCCGAGCAUGUCCUCAACUUUUUGGGCUUUCAUGAUCCUGGCGAGUCUGCUGAUCGCCUACUGCAGAACACGGCUGUGCUGUGAAGAAAGGUGGCUCCGUGCAUGGAAAAAUGACAAGUCUUCCUUUUGCUGUUGAACCGAGGGCAUGAAUGAUUUAAUCUUUAAUAAAAUGUGUCUGCAACUUCAUAUUAGGAGGGAUAUUUGAUAAUUGUGCUCUGUUGACAUUGCUGUCGACACAGGAUAUGGAAUACUAAUGCGGCCUCCCGGAGAAAAGAGCUGAUUUAGUUCAUGUAUCAUCUUGUUCAGUAAUCGGGACUUAUCCGCAACGCUGGGGGUCUGGAAUAAGAAGAUGCAGAUGUCCCGAUAGAUAUGGGAAAGGUUUUUCAGAAGGAAGCCCAGUCAUACUAUUUAGAGAGAGCCUAGAAACAGAGAAGGUCAGAGUAGGAUCUGGGCAGAGAAUAUAGUAGAGAGACCAGAAUGGCAGAUCUGGGAGAGGGUUUAGAAUUAGGCAAUUUCUUUGAAAUCUGGAAGAAAACUUAGAUCAGAGAAUCGGACUUGGGAGGGUUCUUAGAGAGUAUUUUAGCUGGUCCAACCAUACUCUCGGAGGCAUCAUGUGAGCUUUACGGAGAAUUAAAUAAUCAUGAACAUAUUCAUUGAUCUGGCAAUCAGGAUAAGUUUAAGGACCUGUCUGUCCUUU
rnacentral:lncRNA from 1 species